rnacentral:rRNA from 1 species
UACGGGGGGGGCAAGCGUUGUUCGGAAUUACUGGGCGUAAAGGGCUUGUAGGUGGCCAACUAAGUCAGACGUGAAAUCCCUCGGCUUAACCGGGGAACUGCGUCUGAUACUGGAUGGCUUGAGUUCGGGAGAGGGAUGCGGAAUUCCAGGUGUAGCGGUGAAAUGCGUAGAUAUCUGGAGGAACACCGGUGGCGAAGGCGGCAUCCUGGACCGAUACUGACGCUGAGGAGCGAAAGCCAGGGGAGCAAACAGG